CAGCUGGCGAGCUUGGGCGGCAGAGCUCUGAUUCCAGGCGGCUGAAGAGGUUGGGAGCGGAGCCCGGGCGCAGAGGCGGGGCGGCAGUGGCACAACAGAAGGACCAUUACUGUUUUGGAGAAUCAAAGGCUGUAUCCAGCAUCAUUAGCAAGGUUUGCAACAAGUGUCUGAGACUGGCUGGCUUGCAGAACUCUUGCUGUAGAAUUGGUCUUUUUUGGGGCGAAGCUACACAUCAG